UACAGAGGUCUCAAGCGUUGUUCGGAUUCAUUGGGCGUAAAGGGUGCGUAGGCGGCGCGGUAAGUCGGGUGUGAAAUCUCGGAGCUUAACUCCGAAACUGCAUCGAUACUGCCGUGCUUGAGGACUGGAGAGGAGACUGGAAUUUACGGUGUAGCGGUGAAAUGCGUAGAUAUCGUAAGGAAGACCAGUGGCGAAGGCGGGUCUCUGGACAGUUCCUGACGCUGAGGCACGAAGGUCAGGGGGAGCAAACGGG
rnacentral:rRNA from 1 species